GUUAGUUUUUGAAAGAGUGAUUGUGGAUGCUAACCUAUGUUUCUGAUUAGGGAUUCCAUUCCUUCUCUGAGUGAGGAAUACACCGCAUCUGUGCAGCAGCACUCCACAAAGAGGAGGAGGAAAUUUGGACAGGGAGAACGACAGCAGUUGGCUUCAGAGGUAUGUGGUACCAUUAUGAGCCAUGCCAAAGGUUCUCAUUUACCAAGCACCUCAUCAGCGCCACUCUGCUACAUGGAGACUUGUUUGUGCAACACACUGCACAGUUUCCAGAAGCAGCACUGGAAACUACCGUGAAGGCCUACCCCAUGUUGAACAAAGUCAAGCUGAGAACAAAGCUACCCUUCAUCUAUGAGCACGAUGAGUUCAAGGCCUGCAGCGGUGCACUGACUCUGUUCCAGUUUUUCAUGGAGAACAACCUUCAGGACAUGUUCACUGAGACUGUAAGUCUCCUCAAGAUUCUCAUCACCACGCCAAUGACAACAGCAGAAUCAGAAAGAUGCUUCUCCACUUUAAAGAGAAUCAAAACUUUCCUGAGGAACACCGUGACGCAGGAUCGACUGAAUGCUCUGGCCGUGCUCUCCAUGGAGAAAAAACUUGUCAGAAACAUUCCUGACUUUAAUAAGAGGGUCAUUGAGCACUUUGCCACACAGAAGGACAGAAGGGCAAAAUUCCAGUACAAAUAAGACACACACACACACACACACACACACACACACACACACACACACACACACACACACACACACACACACACACACACACACACACACACGCGCGGACAAAAAUGAUGAUACCCUUUAUUCAAUCUUAACUUUGCAUUUUGUUGCACGGUGUUGUUGUUGAGCCAGUCACUGCAGUCAGGUGAUUUCUGUAACUCUCAGUGAGACUUCUGCACGUGUCGACUCCUGGUGAUCAAACUGCUCCAGCUGUCUCAGGUGAGAAGGCGGUCCUUCUCCUGACUGCAUGUUUCAGCUCCUUCCACAGAUGUUCAGUAGGAUUCAGAUCAGGGCUCAUUGGAGGCCACAUCAGAACAGUUCAGUGUGUCGUUCUUAGCCAUUCUUCAGUGUGUAACUGUGUGUUUCAGGUCAGUGUGUCUUCAUUUUGUAUGCUUCCCUUGACCAGAUUUUUCUUUGUAUAAAGUUGACUUUAGCACAACACAUCAUCCAGCAAUGUAUUGCACUUAGUAAUUUUUUGAUGUUUUUGCUCAUUAAAUAAUUAUUAGUUCACA